rnacentral:rRNA from 1 species
AGUUUGAUCCUGGCUCAGGACGAACGCUGGCGGCGCGCUUAACACAUGCAAGUCGAGCGAGAACCAUUCCUUCGGGGAUGGGGACAGCGGCGAACGGGUGAGUAACACGUGGGUAAUCAACCCUCGACACUGGGAUAGCCCGGGGAAACCCGGAUUAAUACCGGAUACCCCAUCUGGCCUUCGGGCCGGCUGGAAAAGGUAGCUUUGGCCUCCGGUCGAGGACGAGCCCGCGGCGGAUUAGCUUGUUGGUGGGGUAAAAGCCCACCAAGGCGACGAUCCGUAGCUGGUCUGAGAGGACGAUCAGCCACACUGGGACUGAGACACGGCCCAGACUCCUACGGGAGGCAGCAGUGGGGAAUCUUGCGCAAUGGGCGAAAGCCUGACGCAGCGACGCCGCGUGAGGGAAGAAGGCCUUCGGGUUGUAAACCUCUUUCAGGAGGGACGAAGCCACUCGGGUUAAUAGCCCAGAGGGUGACGGUACCUCCAGAAGAAGCCCCGGCUAACUACGUGCCAGCAGCCGCGGUAAUACGUAGGGGGCAAGCGUUGUCCGGAUUUAUUGGGCGUAAAGAGCGUGUAGGCGGCCAUACAGGUCAGCUGUGAAAACUCGAGGCUCAACCUCGAGACGUCGGUUGAAACCGUAUGGCUAGAGUCCGGAAGAGGAGAGUGGAAUUUCCCGGUGUAGCGGUGAAAUGCGCAGAUAUCGGGAAGAACACCCAUGGCGAAGGCAGCUCUCUGGGACGGUACUGACGCUGAGACGCGAAAGCGUGGGGAGCGAACAGGAUUAGAUA